AGGAGGCCGACAGGAGGCCUAAUCAAUAUCCCCGUGGACAUUUGAAAAAUAACCGAUUUAUUUCUGGGAAAGUCCUUCACCGUUCCCCAUCAGGUCAUGGAGGCCAGCGUGGCUGUGGCCUGACACGGCACUUCUGCACUCAACCUGAGGCAGCUGGGGAGAUGAAACGGAGCUGCGCGGGGCCAGCACACGUGUGUGCGAGACGCCCACGGUGUCUGUGAGCCACCAGGUCGGGGAUUUCUGUUUAUUUUAUCCCGGACGUAUUUAUUCCCAGAGCUCAGCUCAGGGUGGGACACACGGAGCUGCUUUCCCCCACGGGGCACCAGGCGCCUGAAGGACUCAGGUAGCCUCGAACUUCCAGGUUCCUCAGCCUCGUAUCUCCCAGAUUUAGGGAGCAGCCACCAGGUCCGGACGCUGUCUCAGAAUGCUAGAAGGCUGGGCCCUGGCUGGUGUAGCUCGGCGGACUGAGCGCCGGCCUGCUAACCAGAAGGUCCCUGGUUUGAUUCCCAGGCAGCA